CCCUUAGACGUUCUGGGCCGCACGCGCGCUACACUGACCAGUGCAACAAGCAUCCGUCCUUGGCCGACAGGCCCGGGCAAUCUUUGAACGCUGGUCGUGAUGGGGAUAGACUUUUGCAAUUUUUGGUCUUCAACGAGGAAUUCCUAGUAAACGCAAGUCAUCAACUUGCAUUGAUUACGUCCCUGCCCUUUGUACACACCGCCCGUCGCACCUACCGAUUGAAUGGUCCGGUGAAGCCUCCGGAUUGGCGCGCACCUCGGUGCCGCCGAGAAGUUGGCUAAACCUUAUCACUUAGAGGAAGGAGAAGUCGUAACA
rnacentral:rRNA from 1 species